GUAGGGUGCAUCAGAGUGCAAUGCGACUCAGUGGGUUAAAGAGGUCAAAAUAUGGGGGGGGGGUCAAUAGGGGUAUACAAAUCCACCCAAAUUUGAAGCAAAAUCUGCGAUCCGACAAUGGUCAUGUCUAAAUUUGAAUCCGCUAAAAGCUCUACUAUGAAGUCACAAUCCAGGAUCCGAACAAAAUAUUAGAUAAAUCCGCAAUCCACUGUAUUAAUAAGAUCUGCAAAUCUGUGUAAAAUAUUCGCCAGAUCCGAAAUCUGAACAAUUUUUUCUGUGAAAUCCGACGAUCCGAAAACCUAUUCACCCCCUCCAAAUAUUGCCAAAACUAAAACUUUCAUCCCCCCUCAAUUACUCCUCAAACCCUGGUGACC